rnacentral:rRNA from 1 species
CAGAGAUGCGGGGUGCCGAAAGGGAAUUGGAACACAGGUGCUGCAUGGCUGUCGUCAGCUCGUGUCGUGAGAUGUUGGGUUAAGUCCCGCAACGAGCGCAACCCUUAUCAUUAGUUGCUACGCAAGGGCACUCUAAUGAGACUGCCGGUGACAAACCGGAGGAAGGUGGGGAUGACGUCAAGUCCUCAUGGCCCUUAUGGGUAGGGCUUCACACGUCAUACAAUGGUCGGUACAGAGGGUUGCCAAGCCGCGAGGUGGAGCCAAUCCCAGAAAGCCGAUCGUAGUCCGGAUUGUUCUCUGCAACUCGAGAGCAUGAAGUCGGAAUCGCUAGUAAUCGCGGAUCAGCAUGUCGCGGUGAAUACGUUCCCGGGUCUU